UUUAAAGCGAAUAAGGGCGCAUGGUGGAUGCCUAGGGUCUGAGAGGCGAUGAAGGACGUGGUAAGCUGCGAUAAGCUACGGGGAGCUGCACACGAGCGUUAUAUCCGUAGAUUUCCGAAUGGGACAACCUAAUAUACUGAAGGUAUAUUACCCGCCGCAAGGCGGGAGCCAACCCCGAGAACUGAAACAUCUAAGUACCGGGAGGAAAAGAAAACAACAGUGAUUCCCCAAGUAGUGGCGAGCGAAAAGGGAACAGCCCAAACCGAGUCGGCGUGCCGAUUCGGGGUUAUAGGACUGCAUUUAGAAAGUGUUAUCAAACUGAAUCAUCUGGAAAGAUGAGCCAUAGCAGGUGAUAGCCCUGUAGGUACAAAUUAACAUGGACGAGCAGUAUCCUGAGUAAUGCGGGACCGGAGGAAUCUUGCAUGAAUUUGCCAGCACCAUCUGGUAAGGCUAAAUACUCCUCAGACACCGAUAGUGAACCAGUACCGUAAGGGAAAGGUGAAAAGCACCCCGAACAGGGGAGUGAAAUAGUACCUGAAACCGUGCGCCUACAAGCGGUCGGAGUCCGCCUCGGCGGAUGACGGCGUGCCUUUUGCAUAAUGAGCCUACGAGUUACUCCUAACUGGCGAGGUUAAGUUCAUAUUUAACGGAGCCGAAGCGAAAGCGAGUCCAAAUAGGGCGAUUAGUCAGUUGGGGUAGACGCGAAACUUUGUGAUCUAUCCAUGGGCAGGUUGAAGGUUAGGUAAAACUAACUGGAGGACCGAACCCGUUGACGUUGAAAAGUCUUGGGAUGACCUGUGGAUAGGGGUGAAAGGCCAAUCAAACUGAGAGAUAGCUCGUUCUCCCCGAAAUGUUUUUAGGAACAGCGUUGCAUAUAGAAGUUUAUUAGAGGUAGAGCUACUGAUUGGGCUAGGGGGCUUCACCGCCUACCAAACCCUGACAAACUCCGAAUGCUAAUAAAUAUCUGCAGCAGUGAGGCUUUGGGCGCUAAGGUCCAGGGCCGAGAGGGAAAUAACCCAGAUUAGCAACUAAGGUCCCUAAUACGUAGUUAAGUUGAUCAAACGAGGUGGGAUUUCUAUAACAGCCAGGAUGUUGGCUUGGAAGCAGCCAUUCAUUUAAAGAGUGCGUAACAGCUCACUGGUCGAGAGAUCCUGCACGGAAAAUAAUCGGGCAUCAAACUACGAACCGAAGUUCUAAAUUUCCGCCUUGUGCGGAAGUGGUAGGGGAGCAUUGAAAUCUGCACUGAAGGUGUAUGGCGACAUAUGCUGGAGCGAUUUCAAAAGAAAAUGUAGGCAUAAGUAACGAUAAUUAAAGUGAAAAACUUUAACGCGAAAAGUCUAAGGUUUCCUGAUCAACGUUAAUCGGAUCAGGGUUAGUCUGGUCCUUAGGAAAACCCGAAAGGGGCAUCUGAUGGAAAGCUGGUUAAUAUUCCAGCACCUGCUAUACAUUAAAAGUGACGCAGGGACGUGGUGGUUGCGUACGGACGGAAGUGUACGCCUGAGUGGAGUCUUCGGACAAAGCGAAACCAUAAAAUCCCUGCCAAGAAAAGCGAGUAUAGCAGCCAGUACCGGAAUCCGACACAGGUAGACGGGAUGAGUAUUCUAACGCGCUCGGGUGAGCCGUGGAGAAGGAACUAGGCAAAUUGACGCUGUAACUUCGGGAUAAAGCGUACCAGCCGCAAGGCUGGUCACAGUAAAAUGGUUCAACCAACUGUUUAACAAAAACACAGGGCCCUGCAAAAACGUAAGUUGACGUAUAGAGCCUGAAACCUGCCCGGUGCUGGAAGGUUAAGGAAGGGUGUUCGGCGCAAGCCAAAGCUCCUGACUGAAGCCCCAGUAAACGGCGGCCGUAACUAUAACGGUCCUAAGGUAGCGAAAUUCCUUGUCGGGUAAGUUCCGACCUGCACGAAUGGUCUAAUGAGUUGAACACUGUCUCCUCCACGAGCCCGGUGAAAUUGUAGUAUCGGUGAAGAUGCCGGUUACCCGCCACGGGACGGAAAGACCCCGUGAACCUUCACUACAACUUUGCAUUGAUUUUGAGCAACAAAUGUGUAGGAUAGUUGGGAGACUUUGAAGCAGUGUCGCCAGGCAUUGUGGAGUCAUCGUUGAAAUACCAACCUUUUGUUGCUUAGAACCUAACCCUGAACAAGGGGACAUUGCAUGGUGGGUAGUUUGACUGGGGUGGUCGCCUCCUAAAAAGUAACGGAGGCUCGCAAAGGUACCCUCAGUACGGUUGGUAAUCGUACGUAGAGCGCAUUAGUAUAAGGGUGCUUGACUGUGAGGCAAACACGCCGAGCAGGAGCGAAAGCUGGCUAAAGUGAUCCGGUGGUUCUGCAUGGAAGGGCCAUCGCUCAAAGGAUAAAAGGUACUCCGGGGAUAACAGGCUGAUCUUACCCAAGAGCUCAUAUCGACGGUAAGGUUUGGCACCUCGAUGUCGGUUCGUCACAUCCUGGGGCUGGAGAAGGUCCCAAGGGUUCGGCUGUUCGCCGAUUAAAGUGGCACGUGAACUGGGUUCAGAACGUCGCAAGACAGUUCGGUCCCUAUCUGUGGUGGGCGCUAGUAAAUUGAGUGGACAUGACCUUAGUACGAGAGGACCGGGUCGUACGUGCCGCUGGUGUAUCUGUUGUGCCGCCAGGUGCAAUGCAGAGUAGCUAUGCACGGACAGGAUAAACGCUGAAAGCAUCUAAGCGUGAAACCUUCCACAAGAUGAGUUUACUUUUAAGGGUCGUCAAAGACUAUGACGUUGAUAGGCUAUAGGUGUAAAGCUGGUAACAGCAAAGCCAAGUAGUACUAAUUGCCCGUAAGCUUUAUUUU
rnacentral:rRNA from 1 species